rnacentral:ncRNA from 1 species
UAAAAGUUUAAUUUUAGUUUAAAAAUUUAAUUUAUAAUUUUUUUUAUAUGUAAAUUUUUGUAUGAAUAAAAAUUUAUUUAAAUAAUAAAUAAUAUAAUUAAUCGCAGUAUAAAAUUUUAAUUAUUAAAGUAAUUUAGAAUUAAGAAUUUAUUUAGUAUGGACAAAAUUUGUGCCAGCAGUUGCGGUUAUACAAAUUAUACAAUUAAAUUUUAUUAGAUUUAGUAAAAUAUAAAUAUUAAUAUUAAUAAUUAUAAUUUUUUAGGUGAAAUUUAAAAUUGUAUUAAUAAUAAUUAUUAAUUUUUGAAUCUAGAAAAUUUUUAUAUUAAACUAGGAUUAGAUACCCUAUUAUAAAAAAUAAAAUUAAAAAAUUCUAAAUUAGUAUUAGUUAAGUUCUUGAAAAUUAAAAAAUUUGGCGGUAUUUUAGUCUUUUCAGAGGAACCUGUUCUAUAAUUGAUAAUCCACGAUUUAAUUUACUUAUUUUAAAAAUUUAUAUAUCAUCGUAAAAGAAUAUUUUAUAAGAAUAUUAAUAUUCAAGAUUUAAUAUAAAAAAAUAGAUCAGAUCAAGGUGUAGUUUAUAAAUAAGGAGAAAUGGGUUACAUUUAAUUUAUUUUUGGAAAUUAUUUUUUAAUAAAUAAUUGAAAUUGGAUUUGAAAGUAAUUUUAAAUAAAUUUUUAUAAUGAUUAAAGCUCUAAAAUAUGUACAUAUUGCCCGUCGCUUUUAUUUUAAAAUAAAAUAAGUCGUAACAAAGUAGAUUUACUGGAAAGUGAAUCUAGAUUCAA